AUGGAGAAACUGCUGGAAGCGUCAUUGAUGACCUUGUGGCUUCUACUAGUCAGGGUGAGCAGCCAACAAGGAGGCGGGGCUCCUCGGGCCCUGAGUGUCCAGGAGGGCGUCAAUGCCACCCUGAGCUGCAGUUACACAGCUUCUAUAAGGAACCUGCAGUGGUAUAGACAGAAUGCAGGGGGAAGCCCUGUCCGGCUAAUUUUAAUUCGAUCAAAUGAGAAAGAGAAGCACAGAGGCCGACUGAGAGCCAUGCUGCACACUGCCACCAAGGACAGCUCCCUGCUCCUCACAGCUGCCCUGGCUGCCGAAGCAGCUGCUUACUUCUGCGCUACAGAUGCACAGUGUGCAGCAGGCACCUACAGCCCCGCACAAACCCAGCGGGCUGCUCCUGAAGUCUGA